rnacentral:rRNA from 1 species
AGAGUUUGAUCAUGGCUCAGAACGAACGCUGGCGGCAUGCCUAACACAUGCAAGUCGAACGAGACCCCAAGUCUUCGGAUGGCGGGUCUAGUGGCGCACGGGUGCGUAACGCGUGGGAAUCUGCCCAAAGGUACGGAAUAACUCAGGGAAACUUGUGCUAAUACCGUAUGAUGCCGAAAGGCCAAAGAUUUAUCGCCUUUGGAUGAGCCCGCGUAGGAUUAGCUAGUUGGUGGGGUAAAGGCCCACCAAGGCGACGAUCCUUAGCUGGUCUGAGAGGAUGAUCAGCCACACUGGGACUGAGACACGGCCCAGACUCCUACGGGAGGCAGCAGUGGGGAAUAUUGGACAAUGGGCGAAAGCCUGAUCCAGCAAUGCCGCGUGAGUGAAGAAGGCCUUCGGGUUGUAAAGCUCUUUUACCCGGGAAGAUAAUGACUGUACCGGGAGAAUAAGCCCCGGCUAACUCCGUGCCAGCCGCCGCGGUAAUUC